UCUUAAUUAAUGCCGGGUAAAAACAACUGGGGCUGUCAUAUUUGUAUUCAAAUCCUUUACUAUAAGCCGAAAAGAGGGGAUUAGAGUCUUUGGCAGAAUUUAAAAUUCCGGCCACAAAACAAUUUGGUUUAUUCCUAAUUCAUUUUGGAUUUUAUUUCCUAACUGAGACAUGCACUCCUCAAGGGGUGUGUUACGACGUCAUAAACGGAAUUUGGCACCCAUUACAUUGAUUCUUAUCCUUAGUGAAUUAUACGCCGAUAUUUACAUUUAUACUGAGUUAAUUUGUGUACAUGUAUAUAUACAUCUCGCAAAUACAAUUGUAUUGAUAGAUUAUGUAUACCGUUAAUUAAAAAAAACCAAAUGCUUUGUAUAAUCAUGAUAUUACGUUAUAUGUAUUAAUCAAAUGUAUUGUUUGUUUUUUUCGACAUGUGCAAAAGAGUUACAUUAAAUUCCCAUAUGAAAAAACUG
rnacentral:misc_RNA from 1 species